CCUACGGGCGACAGCAGUGGGGAAUAUUGCGCAAUGGGCGAAAGCCUGACGCAGCGACGCCGCGUGAGGGAUGAAGGUCUUCGGAUCGUAAAACUCUGUUAGCAGGGAAGAACGGUCACUGUGCUAAUCAGCCGUGAAUUGACGGUACCUGCAAAGGAAGCACCGGCUAACUCCGUGCCAGCAGCCGCGGUAAUACGGAGGGUGCGAGCGUUGAUCGGAAUUACUGGGCGUAAAGCGCUCGUAGGCGGUAUGUCAAGUCAAGGGUGAAAUCCCCGCGCUCAACGUGGGAACUGCCUUUGAAACUGGCAAACUGGAGUGUGUGAGAGGAUAGUGGAAUUCCAGGUGUAGGGGUGAAAUGCGUAGAUAUCUGGAGGAACAUCAGUGGCGAAGGCGACUAUCUGGCACGUAACUGACGCUGAGGAGCGAAAGCGUGGGUAGCAAACAGGAUUAGAUACCCCAGUAGUC
rnacentral:rRNA from 1 species